rfam:Beta vulgaris subsp. vulgaris 1096.scaffold01696.con0003.1, whole genome shotgun sequence.
UACCUGGUUGAUCCUGCCAGUAGUCAUAUGCUUGUCUCAAAGAUUAAGCCAUGCAUGUCUAAGCACAGACCUUUACACGGUGAAGCUGCGAAUGGCUCAUUAGGCCACCCAUGAUUUAUUAGAUUGUACAAUCCUACUUGGAUAACUGUGGUAAUUCUAGAGCUAAUACAUGCAAGCAAGCUCCGACCCCGUCUUCACGGGCGGGGAAAGAGCGCGUUUAUUAGAUCAAAACCAAUCGGUACCUCGGUGCCGUACGUUUGGUGACUCUGGAUAACUUCGAGCUGAUCGCACGGCCUCGAGCCGGCGACGUAUCUUUCAAGUGUGUGCCCUAUCAACUGUCGAUGGUA